UCUCCGUAGGUGAACCUGCGGAGGGAUCAUUACAGAGUUAAUGCCCUACCGGGUAGAUUUCACACCCUAUGUUAUUAUUACUUUGUUGCUUUGGCGGGCCCUUAGGCUCAGGCCCGACUACCGGCCCCGGCUGGUAAGCGCCAGCCAGAGGACCCAAAACCCUGAAUAUUAGUGUCGUCUGAGUACUAUAUAAUAGUUAAAACUUUCAACAAUGGAUCUCUUGGUUCUG
rnacentral:misc_RNA from 1 species